rnacentral:rRNA from 1 species
UACGAAGGGGGCUAGCGUUGUCCGGAAUCACUGGGCGUAAAGCGCACGCAGGCGGAUCGAUAAGUCGGGGGUGAAAGCCCGGGACUCAACCUCGGAAUUGCCUUCGAUACUGUCGGUCUCGAGUCCGGGAGAGGUGAGUGGAAUUCCUAGUGUAGAGGUGAAAUGCGUAGAUAUUAGGAAGAACACCAGUGGCGAAGGCGGCUCACUGGCCCGGUACUGACGCUCAGGUGCGAAAGCGUGGGGAGCAAACAGG